rnacentral:misc_RNA from 1 species
GAUGAAGAACGUAGCGAAAUGCGAUACUUGGUGUGAAUUGCAGAAUCCCGUGAACCAUCGAGUCUUUGAACGCAAGUUGCGCCCGAAGCCAUUAGGCCGAGGGCACGCCUACCUGGGCGUCACACGUCGUUGCCCCCCCCAUCUACUCCUUCGGGAUUGCGGGGGGCGGAUGAUGGCCUCCCGUGCGCCUCGCCGCGCGGUUGGCAUAAAUGCCAAGUCCUCGGCGACGCACGCCACGACAAUCGGUGGUUGCGAAACCUCGGUUGCCCGUCGUGUGCGGUCGUCGCGCAUCGAGGGCUCGAAAAAAUUGCCGAGUUCCGGCUCGGCUUUCAACGCGACCCCAGGUCAGGCGGGGUUACCCGCUGAAUUUAAGCAUAUCAAUAAGCGGAGGA